rnacentral:rRNA from 1 species
UACCAGCACCCCGAGUGGUCGGGACGUUUAUUGGGCCUAAAGCAUCCGUAGCCGGUUCUACAAGUCUUCCGUUAAAUCCAACUGCUUAACAGGUGGGCUGCGGAAGAUACUAUAGAGCUAGGAGGCGGGAGAGGCAAGCGGUACUCAAUGGGUAGGGGUAAAAUCCGUUGAUCCAUUGAAGACCACCAGUGGCGAAGGCGGCUUGCCAGAACGCGCUCGACGGUGAGGGAUGAAAGCUGGGGGAGCAAACCGG